rnacentral:rRNA from 1 species
UUGACGGGGCCCGCACAAGCAGCGGAGCGUGUGGUUUAAUUCGAUGAUACACGAAGAACCUUACCCAGGCUUGACAUGUAGGUGGUAGGGAUCCGAAAGGUGACCGACCUUCGGGGAGCCUGCACAGGUGCUGCAUGGCUGUCGUCAGCUCGUGUCGUGAGAUGUCCGGUUAAGUCCGGUAACGAGCGCAACCCUCGCUGUAUGUUAUAUGUGUCAUACGGGACUGCCGGUAUCAAGCCGGAGGAAGGUGGGAUGACGUCAAGUCAGCAUGGCCUUUAUGUCUGGGGCUACACACACGCUACAAUGGCCAGUACAAUAGGUUGCAAAACCGCGAGGUGGAGCCAAUCCUAAAAGCUGGUCUCAGUUCGGAUUGCAGGCUGCAACUCGCCUGCAUGAAGUCGGAGUUGCUAGUAACCGCGCGUCAGCUAUAGUGCGGUGAAUACGUUCCCGGGCCUU